UGUGCUGGGGACCGCGGAUGAAUGUGCGGGGCCCGGGUGAUCGUUUGGGCCCCGGGAGGAUGUGCAGGGGGCGGCCCAGGAGAGUGUGCAGAACUGGGGAUUCAGUGACGUUUGGUAAUGUGGCACAAUACCUCAUCAAACGGAGUGAUUGAAGCUGGACCCUGAGCAGAGGACCUCAGCAUAUUGAAGAAACGUGAUAUCUGUGGGUAAGGAUGACCCCAGCCCUUCCACAAGAUUUGCCACCAGCUUCGUGGUCCUACGGAGCUGGGAGUGGGAUAAGGGGACACCUGACAGUCUAGUCCCACACAGGCCCAACUUCCAGCUUAUGCUCCCUGGGAAUAGGCUGUAAGGAAAUACAGAGGGUCUGCUACACACAACCUGUCAAAGUAGCGGGUAUCCCUCCCAACUCAUAACGGCUUAUAAAGAAGUUAGAACAAACUGGCCACCAUAAUGAAAUACUUUUUUAACCCACAAAUUAUGUAAAUUGUAUGGGAACUUUAUUGUAGUUUACUGUUGUUUUUUUUUUAAUUUUAUUUUAUUUUUAAACUUUACAUAAUUGUAUUAGUUUUGCCAAAUAUCAUAAUGAAUCCACCACAGGUAUAUAUGUGUUGAGAGAGGCUGACAUGGCAAGCUCC
rnacentral:lncRNA from 1 species